rnacentral:rRNA from 1 species
CCAGCAGCCGCGGUAAUUCCAGCUCCAAUAGCGUAUGUUAAAGUUGUUGCGGCUAAAAAGCUCGUAGUUGGAUUUCUGUUGAGGACGUCCGGUCCGCUCUACGAGCGUGUAUCUGGCUCGGCCUCGGCAUCCGCUCUGCAUACGUGACUGCGCUUGAUUGCGUGACACGGAGGUAGGGCCUUUUACUUUGAGGAAAUUAGAGUGUUCACGGCAGGCAAUCGCCUUGAAUAUAUUAGCAUGGAAUAAUAACAUAGGAUCUUGGUUCUAUUUUGUUGGUUUCUAGGGCUAAGAUAAUGAUUAAUAGGGACAAUUGGGGGCAUUCGUAUUGCGGUGUCAGAGGUGGAAUUCUUGGAUUACUGCACGACGAACUACUGCGAAAGCAUUUGCCAAGGAUGUUUUCAUUGAUCAAGAACGAAAGU